GACGAACGCUGGCGGCGUGCCUAAUACAUGCAAGUCGAACGAACCGCGACUAGGUGCUUGCACUUGGUCAAGGAGAGUGGCGAACGGGUGAGUAACACGUGGGUAACCUACCUCAUAGUGGGGGAUAACAGUCGGAAACGACUGCUAAUACCGCAUAGGACAUGGGAUCACAUGAUUCUGUCAGGAAAGGUGGCGCAAGCUAUCGCUCUGAGAUGGAGCCGCGGUGCAUUAGCUAGUUGGUGGCGUAACGGCCUAGCAAGGCGAUGAUGCAUAGCCGACCUGAGAGGGGGAUCGGCCACAUUGGGACUGAGACACGGCCCAAACUCCUACGGGAGGCAGCAGUAGGGAAUGUUCCGCAAUGGACGGAAGUCUGACGGAGCAACGCCGCGUGAGUGAAGAAGGUCUUCGGAUCGUAAAGCUCUGUUGUGAGUGAAGAACAGCGCAUAGAGUAACUGUGAUGUGUGUGACGGUACCUAAACAGAAAGCAACGGCUAACUACGUG
rnacentral:rRNA from 1 species